GAUGAGGGAGUCGCUUAGUCGUGGUUGGUUUCGGUGUCUCCGCAAAUGUCUGCGCGUUUUCCUGCGGUUAUUCGCGCUGUUUGUUCGUCACGCAGGCUGCAAGGCUGUAAAUAUUCGGAUUAUUACUGAAACCAGCGCGGAGGAUCGGAGACAGUGUGUGUGAGGCGGAUUUAGUGGUGAAUAAUCGGGGUUUGGUGUUGCACUGCGGGGUUUAUUAUCCAUGCAGCAGGACAGCUGCCCUGUUAAUGGUGGACAAACGACAGAGCGUUGAAUACAGCAACGAAGGGAGGGACUGACACCGGUAAUGAUGGAGGGAGAAAGAGUGGGAGAGGGAGGAGGAUGGAGUGAAAGAGGAGGAGAAAGAUGGUUGGAGUGGUAGAGGGAUGAUGAAAGAGGGAGAAAAUAUGGGGAAAGGAAAGUGGAGAGAAAGAGAACAAGAGGAUGGGAAGAGAGAAUGACUGAGAGAGGGAAAGAGAGAGAAUAAGGAAGAGAGACAAGUAGAAAAUGAAAAGUGGGGGGAAAUGGAAAGAGAGCUAACGAUUGAGAGAGAGGGAGGAAGAAAGAAAGGGUGAAUGAGGGAUAGAGGAGAAGACGAGUGAGAAAGAAAAGGUAUAGAUAGAGAGGAGGGAAGGGUGGAGAAAAGGGGUAGAGAAAGAAGGAAAAGAGGAGAGGACGGGGAGACAGAGCGUGAUGAGAGAGAGGAAGCGAAAUGGAAAAGGAGGGAAUAAGGACGGGAGAGAAAAGAAGAGGCUAAGGUAUAGAAAGCGUGAGAGGAAGAGACAGAAUUAGGAGGAGAGGAAGAGAGAAAAAUGGAAGGAGGGAAGAAGUGAGAAUGAAGGAAUAAGAGGGAGGAGAAGGGAUGGAGAGAAUUUGGGGUAAAGGUCAAAGUGAGAGACGGAAUGAGAGGGGGCAGAGACGGAGAGAGGUGGAAAGACAGACGAUGAAAGAAAGGGGGAGAGGAAGAGAAGGAGGGAAGAAGUAAAGGAAGCAGAGGUGAAGCUAGAACGGAAGUGAAAGGGGGAAAGAAGGAUGGAGAGAAUCUGGGAUAAAGGGAAAAGAGAUGGAGAGAAAGGAAGUAGAGACAGUAAGGAUGAGAGAGGGAGGGAUGAGAGAAGGAGGGAUGAGAGUGGAAAUGAAAGAGGAAGAAAAUGAGAAAAGAUGAGAAGCAUAUUGAAAAAUUGGGAUUGAGGGAAAAGAGGGAGAGGAAGGAUGGAGAGAAAGAGAAGAUAGGAGAGGGAGAUGGGUGUGAGAGAGAGAGAGAGACAGAGAGAGAGCAUUUGAACAUGACUCAUGGUUUUACACAGUACAUUGCGGAGGUGU
ensembl:lncRNA